rnacentral:tRNA from 1 species
UUCCCUGUAGCUCAGUUGGUAGAGCAUGGUGUUUGCAACACCAGGGUUGUGGGUUUGAUUCCCAUGGGGGGAC